UGGGGCGUGGCUCUGUCAGUAGAGCACUUGCCUAGCAAGCAUGAAAGCCUGGGUUUGAUACCCGGCAUCGCAG
rnacentral:tRNA from 1 species